GACAGAGGUGCCAAGCGUUAGGCGGAAUCACUGGGCUUAAAGCGUGUGUAGGCGGGUGCCUAAGUACCUUGUGAAACCCCACGGCUCAACCGUGGAACGGCUGGGUAUACUGGGUGCCUUGGGUCAUCCAGGGGCUGCCGGAACAAAUGGUGGAGCGGUGAAAUGCGUAGAUAUCAGGAGGAACACCGAUGGCGAAGGCAGCUCGCUGGGACGGUACUGACGCUGAGGCGCGAAAGCGUGGGGAGCAAACAGG
rnacentral:rRNA from 1 species